rnacentral:rRNA from 1 species
UACGUAGGGGGCUAGCGUUGUCCGGAAUCAUUGGGCGUAAAGCGCGCGUAGGCGGCCAGAUAAGUCCGGUGUGAAAGUCAAAGGCUCAACCUUUGAAUGCCGCUGGAAACUGUCUGGCUUGAGUCCGGAAGGGGCGAGUGGAAUUCCUGGUGUAGCGGUGAAAUGCGCAGAUAUCAGGAGGAACACCGGUGGCGAAGGCGCCACUCUGGGCCGAAACUGACGCUGAGGAGCGAAAGCGUGGGUAGCAAACAGG